CAGCAGCCGCGGUAACACAGAGGGUGCGAGCGUUAAUCGGAUUUACUGGGCGUAAAGCGUGCGUAGGCGGCUUUUUAAGUCGGAUGUGAAAUCCCUGAGCUUAACUUAGGAAUUGCAUUCGAUACUGGGAAGCUAGAGUAUGGGAGAGGAUGGUAGAAUUCCAGGUGUAGCGGUGAAAUGCGUAGAGAUCUGGAGGAAUACCGAUGGCGAAGGCAGCCAUCUGGCCUAAUACUGACGCUGAGGUACGAAAGCAUGGGGAGCAAACAGGAUUAGAUACCCGCGUAGUCCCUGUCUCUUAUAC
rnacentral:rRNA from 1 species